rnacentral:ncRNA from 1 species
GUGAAAUCGCUGAGUAAGAAGAGUCCGCAUGAUGGAGACGUUCCAGAGAGCUGGGAUAGGCGGGGGCCCAGUGCGGUGCCAGAUGCGGAAUGGGCUUACGAGAGGUUUGCUGAACAGAGAUAAGUAGGCAACCCGGGUUCCGCCGUUACAAGGAUAAGGUAUAGAUUUGUACCUCAAUAAAGCGGAAUGUUUUUUACAUCCAAAUGAGGUGGUACCGCGGUAAAUUUAUCGCCCUCUAC